AACGAACGCUGGCGGCAUGCCUAACACAUGCAAGUCGAACGAAACCUUCGGGUCUAGUGGCGCACGGGGGCGUAGCGCGUGGGAACCUGCCCUUAGGUUCGGAAUAACUCUCCGAAAGGGGUGCUAAUACCGGAUAAGGUCUUCUGACCAAAGAUUUAUCGCCUUUGGAUGGGCCCGCGUGGGAUUAGCUCGUUGGUAGGGUAAUAGCCUACCAAGGCGACGAUCCAUAGCUGGUCUGAGAGGAUGAUCAGCCACACUGGGACUGAGACACGGCCCAGACUCCUACGGGAGGCAGCAGUGGGGAAUAUUGGACAAUGGGCGAAAGCCUGAUCCAGCAAUGCCGCGUGAGUGAUGAAGGCCUUAGGGUUGUAAAGCUCUUUUACCCGGGAGGAUAAUGACAGUACCGGGAGAAUAAGCUCCGGCUAACUCCGUG
rnacentral:rRNA from 1 species